rnacentral:rRNA from 2 species
UAAUUCAUUCCCUCACAUGAGGGAAUGCUGAAAGACGGUUUCGGCUGUCACUUACAGAUGGGCCCGCGGCGCAUUAGCUAGUUGGUGAGGUAACGGCUCACCAAGGCAACGAUGCGUAGCCGACCUGAGAGGGUGAUCGGCCACACUGGGACUGAGACACGGCCCAGACUCCUACGGGAGGCAGCAGUAGGGAAUCUUCCGCAAUGGACGAAAGUCUGACGGAGCAACGCCGCGUGAGCGAAGAAGGCCUUCGGGUCGUAAAGCUCUGUUGUCAGGGAAGAACAAGUAUCGGAGUAACUGCCGGUACCUUGACGGUACCUGACCAGAAAGCCACGGCUAACUACGUGCCAGCAGCCGCGGUAAUACGUAGGUGGCAAGCGUUGUCCGGAAUUAUUGGGCGUAAAGCGCGCGCAGGCGGUCCUUUAAGUCUGAUGUGAAAGCCCACGGCUCAACCGUGGAGGGUCAUUGGAAACUGGGGGACUUGAGUGCAGAAGAGGAGAGCGGAAUUCCACGUGUAGCGGUGAAAUGCGUAGAGAUGUGGGAGGAACACCAGUGGCCGAAGGCGGCUCUCUGGUCUGUAACUGACGCUGAGGCGCGAAAGCGUGGGGGAGCGAACAGGAUUAGAUACCCUUGGUAGUCCACGCCGUAAACGAUGAGUGCUAAGUGUUUAGAGGGUUUCCGCCCUUUUAGUGCUGCAGCAAACGCAUUAAGCACUCCGCCUGGGGGAGUACGGCCGCAAGGCUGAAACUCAAAAGGAAUUGACGGGGGCCCGCACAAGCGGUGGAGCAUGUGGUUUAAUUCCGAAGCAACGCGAAGAACCUUACCAGGUCUUGACAUCCUCUGACACUCCUGGAGACAGGACGUUCCCCUUCGGGGGACAGAGUGACAGGUGGUGCAUGGUUGUCGUCAGCUCGUGUCGUGAGAUGUUGGGUUAAGUCCCGCAACGAGCGCAACCCUUGAUCUUAGUUGCCAGCAUUCAGUUGGGCACUCUAAGGUGACUGCCGGUGACAAACCGGAGGAAGGUGGGGAUGACGUCAAAUCAUCAUGCCCCUUAUGACCUGGGCUACACACGUGCUACAAUGGAUAGAACAAAGGGCAGCGAAGCCGCGAGGUGAAGCCAAUCCCAUAAAUCUAUUCUCAGUUCGG